UUAUGGCGUGAUAAAAAGAGAAAUCCAAAAUCCCCUCUGUAAAAACCUUUUACUCAAAUAUGUCAACAAAAUCAAACAAGAACUAUCAACCUGACUUUAUCCAAUGAUCAGAUUUAUGAUCCUGAAAUGAAUGCAGAUUAGUGCAGAUUUAAUGCCUCGUUUUCAUAUUUAAACAUUACAUUUCAGAAAUUUUGUAAUGCAAAACAAUUGUACUGUGAUUAAUCAGCUGAUGAGAGUUUGAUGCUGUCUAGUAGUUAAAUUUUCAUCCUAUUCACCUGUAGUGUCUUGCCUUAAAAUCAUUUUCCAAGUUCUCUGUAAGUUAUACAGUAUUUGGAUAUGGACUCAGUGUCCUGAUUCAACACACCAUGACAAAAAUGCUUUGUGUUGAUGUUUUUACCCCAUAUCUGGAGACUAGAUCUCUCACAGAAAGGAGCCGGCGAUAUCUGACAGCUUUCACACAUGAAAUAUCUUGUGUUUUCAGAGUCCGUUUGAUAAGACAGAGAAAAGCUGAUUUUGUGUCCAGUUCUUCAUGCUACUAGGUCGGCCAAAGCCAGGCCAGGUUUGACAUCACGAAAGAACCAGCGAUGUUCGACAGUCGACGUUGCUGAGACACGUCUCGAAUUGAACCUGCAUCAUCAGACCGCUGUGUUUUAUCACACUGAACUCGGUGCUGACGUCUGCUGUGAAAUCACGUUUCCACGAGCUGCUCCGUCAUGAUGAGGAAUAAAGACUCUCAGAAGAACGAAUCUGGGUUUGGAAGGACGUGAGGGUGAAUAAACGAUGACAGGACGAUCAUUUAAGGCUGAAUUUCCUUUAGCGCAGUAAUGAAGGAAUGUGGAGCGUGAUGAAAUCCUGCAGUCAGAUGGUUGGAGGUGUUGGACGAAGGCCAUCAGUGCGUCUCUAACACACUCAUGUGCUGCUGCUGCUGCUGUGGUUCUGAAGGAAACUCUGAUGAUCUGAGAUUCAGUGAGUCAUGUGAGCCGACGGGAAUCCAGCAGCGCAGAAACAUUACAACACUUGAAUGACAGAAACACAGGGAUUUUUAAGAUUUUUUUAACGUUUGCAUGUGAAAAGAGAGUGAUUUGGUGCUGGAGGUUUCAUCAUCACUAUCAGAACUAGUACUAGUGAUGAUUAACCUGGCAAAGACUGCUAAGUAACGCUCACUGAUGCUGUAAAACAUGAAGAUGGAAACAAAGCCUCAUUUCAGAGCCGUGUGUGUGUAGUUUCACUAGUGAACACUAGAGGCAUCAGUGUCACGUGGUGAACUGUAAUGACUGCCAUAUGAGCCUGUUAAACUUUCCAUCACACACACACACACACACACACACACACACACACACACACACUCUCGGGUCGCUCCAGGAGAGAGAGAUCGACCCACAUUCUGGUUCUGUUCGGCUCAAGCUGCUGUUUAUUUGCUCUGAACAUUUUAAUAACGAGUUUCUCUCUCUGUACAACACAAAUCCAAAACCCAUAAAACUCCUCUGAACGUGUGUGUGUGUGUUUAAGAUACACGUGGCCUUCA